UACGGAGGGUGCAAGCGUUAAUCGGAAUCACUGGGCGUAAAGCGCACGUAGGCCGUUUGGUAAGUCAGAGGUGAAAGCCCGUAGCUCAACUACGGAAUUGCCUUUGAUACUGCUGGACUUGAGUUCGGGAGAGGGUAGUGGAAUUCCAGGUGUAGGAGUGAAAUCCGUAGAUAUCUGGAGGAACAUCAGUGGCGAAGGCGACUACCUGGACCGAUACUGACGCUGAGGUGCGAAAGCGUGGGGAGCAAACAGG
rnacentral:rRNA from 1 species